rnacentral:rRNA from 1 species
UACGGAGGGGGCUAGCGUUGUUCGGAAUUACUAGGCGUAAAGCGCACGUAGGCGGCUUUGUAAGUUAGAGGUGAAAGCCCAGGGCUUAACCCUGGAAUUGCCUUUAAGACUGCAUCGCUAGAAUCGUGGAGAGGUGAGUGGAAUUCCGAGUGUAGAGGUGAAAUUCGUAGAUAUUCGGAAGAACACCAGUGGCGAAGGCGACUCACUGGACACGUAUUGACGCUGAGGUGCGAAAGCGUGGGGAGCAAACAGG